GACGACCCACCACCAGCAUUUGCCCAUUGUUUCCCAUUGGGAUCCAGCUUUGCUGAAUUUUUUGGGUGUUUCCAUAAAAGCUCAGUGUGGACACAUUCAGGAUGGCCUGAAAGAAAAUGGAGAAGUGCUUCCAAUGUUACUGAGCACACUUACAAAUAUCGUCCUGGGGCAGAAGAGUGAAGUCACUGCACGAACAAGGGAGCACAGACAGCUCCCUUCAUGCCUUUGGAAGCUCUGGCUAUCACUGCUCCAGGGUGGAACAAGACUGUGGAACAGGAACUAUCUAAGUCAGGAUCCCAAUUCAGGCACUGAAGGAGUAAAACUGCAACCCACCCAAUGCAAUUCCUGUAAACACAAUGUGCCAAGGUUUCCAACAAGCACCAGCUCUGGCAACAACAAUCAUUGCCAUUCCAUGCCUUACUGA
rnacentral:lncRNA from 1 species